UAACACGUGAGCAACCUGGCUCUAAGAGGGGGACAACAGUUGGAAACGACUGCUAAUACCGCAUAACGUAUCGGGAUGGCAUCUUCCUGAUACCAAAGAUUUUAUCGCUUAGAGAUGGGCUCGCGUCUGAUUAGAUAGUUGGCGGGGUAACGGCCCACCAAGUCGACGAUCAGUAGCCGGACUGAGAGGUUGAACGGCCACAUUGGGACUGAGACACGGCCCAGACUCCUACGGGAGGCAGCAUG
rnacentral:rRNA from 1 species